rnacentral:rRNA from 1 species
GAUGAACGCUAGCGGCAGGCUUAAUACAUGCAAGGCGAAGGGGCAGCAAUGUCACUGUCGUACGGGUGCGUAACGCGUAUGCAACCUACCUAUCACUGGGGGGAUAGCCCGGGGGAAACCCGGAUUAAUACCGCAUAACACAGGGGUCCCACCUGGGACUAUUUGUUAAAGAUUUAUCGGUGGUAGAUGGGCAUGCGUUC